rnacentral:rRNA from 1 species
GACGAACGCUGGCGGCGUGCCUAAUACAUGCAAGUCGAGCGCUGAAGGUUGGUACUUGUACCGACUGGAUGAGCAGCGAACGGGUGAGUAACGCGUGGGGAAUCUGCCUUUGAGCGGGGGACAACAUUUGGAAACGAAUGCUAAUACCGCAUAAAAACUUUAAACACAAGUUUUAAGUUUGAAAGAUGCAAUUGCAUCACUCAAAGAUGAUCCCGCGUUGUAUUAGCUAGUUGGUGAGGUAAAGGCUCACCAAGGCGAUGAUACAUAGCCGACCUGAGAGGGUGAGCAGCCAGACUGGGACGGAGACACGGCCCAAAGGGCUUGGGGAGGGAGCAGGAGGGAAUCUUCAGCAAGGGGUGAGAGACUGACCAAGCAGCGCCGCGGGAGUGAAGAAGGAUGUCGGGUCGGAAAACUCUGUUUGUAGGGAGGAACGUUGGUGAGAGUGGAAAGCUCAGCAAGUGACGGUAACGGCCCAGAAAGGGACGGCUAACUACGUG